GGUAAUAGAUAAUAUAUCUCAUGUGCUCUUCAUUCGAAGUCUUUUUCUUCCCCAGUUGAGUAAGAUUCAUAUUUCCUUAUGGAAUCGAAUGCCCAUUCUGUGAUCGAGUUUGCUUUUUCAGCCCUCCUUUUAGAUGAUGAGUGUCUUGGAAAUAUUCCCCAAUUCACGCCUGGUUGGUCACCUAUUAUAUGCCUAGUAACCGG
rnacentral:lncRNA from 1 species